rnacentral:rRNA from 1 species
CGGGCGCGAAGCCGGUCUAAGUUCCUUGGAACGGGGCGUCAUAGAGGGUGAGAAUCCCGUAUGUGACCGGCGAUCAAGCCCAAGUGAAACUCCUUCGACGAGUCGAGUUGUUUGGGAAUGCAGCUCAAAAUGGGUGGUAAAUUUCAUCUAAAGCUAAAUACUGGCCAGAGACCGAUAGCGCACAAGUAGAGUGAUCGAAAGAUGAAAAGCACUUUGGAAAGAGAGUCAAAAAGUACGUGAAAUUGUUGAAAGGGAAGCGCUUGCAACCAGACCUGCCCGCGGGCGAUCAGCCGUCCCUCCGGGGCGGUGCACGCGCCCGCGAUCAGGCCAGCAUCGGUUCGGGCGGCCGGAUAAAGGCCUCGGGAACGUAGCUCCCCUCGGGGAGUGUUAUAGCCCGGGGCGCAAUGCGGCCCGCCUGGACCGAGGACCGCGCUCGGCUAGAUGCUGGCGUAAUGGUUGUAAGCGGCCCGUCUUGAAACACGGACCAAGGAGUCUAACAUCUAUGCGAGUGUUUGGGCGUCCAACCCUUACGCGCAAUGAAAGUGAACGGAGGUGGGAACCUUCGAGGGCGCACCAUCGACCGA